rnacentral:tRNA from 1 species
GGGCCCAUAGCUCAGCCUGGUAGAGCGCCUGCCUCUUAAGCAGGCUGUCGGGGGUUCAAAUCCCCCUGGGCUCG